GGCCGGUCUGAGUGCAGUGGUGUUUAGAACUAAUUGAUCACAGCAAGUUACAGAUUUCUUUGUUCCUUCUCCACUCCCACCGCUUCACGUGACUGGCUUUAA
ensembl:misc_RNA Y_RNA Y RNA